GGCGCUAUGGCCGAGUGGUCUAAGGCGAAAGAUUUGAAUUCCUCACUAUCUUUUCCACUCUGUGGGCGCAGGUUCGAACCCUGCUGGCGUCG